rnacentral:rRNA from 1 species
UCCCAGACUCCUACGGGAGGCAGCAGCGGGGAAUAUUGCACAAUGGGGGAAACCCUGAUGCAGCGACGCCGCGUGAGUGAAGAAGUAUCUCGGUACGUAAAGCUCUAUCAGCAGGGAAGAAAAUGACGGUACCUGAGUAAGAAGCUCCGGCUAAAUACGUGCCAGCAGCCGCGGUAAUACGUAUGGAGCAAGCGUUAUCCGGAUUUACUGGGCGUAAAGGGAGCGUAGGCGGCCUGCCAAGUCUGAUGUGAAAUGCCGGGGCUCAACCCCGGGGCUGCAUUGGAAACUGGCAGGCUGGAGUGCCGGAGAGGCAGGCGGAAUUCCUAGUGUAGCGGUGAAAUGCGUAGAUAUUAGGAGGAACACCAGUGGCGAAGGCGGCCUGCUGGACGGUGACUGACGCUGAGGCUCGAAAGCGUGGGGAGCAAACAGGAUUAGAUACCCUUGUA